GAUGAACGCUGGCGGCGUGCCUAAUACAUGCAAGUCGAGCGAACAGACGAGGCGCUUGCUCCUCUGACGUUAGCGGCGGACGGGUGAGUCACACGUGGAUAACCUACCUAUAAGACUGGGAUAACUUCGGGAAACCGGAGCUAAUACCGGAUAAUAUAUUGAACCGCAUGGUUCAAUAGUGAAAGACGGUUUUGCUGUCACUUAUAGAUGGAUCCGCGCCGCAUUAGCUAGUUGGUAAGGUAACGGCUUACCAAGGCAACGAUGCGUAGCCGACCUGAGAGGGUGAUCGGCCACACUGGAACUGAGACACGGUCCAGACUCCUACGGGAGGCAGCAGUAGGGAAUCUUCCGCAAUGGGCGAAAGCCUGACGGAGCAACGCCGCGUGAGUGAUGAAGGUCUUCGGAUCGUAAAACUCUGUUAUUAGGGAAGAACAAAUGUGUAAGUAACUAUGGACGUCUUGACGGUACCAAAUCAGAAAGCCACGGCUAACUACGUG
rnacentral:rRNA from 1 species